rnacentral:lncRNA from 10 species
ACGCCACUUCCCUCAGCCUGUAGAACUUCCGGCAGCAACUGCAAUUAGGGGUAGUCCAGUGCUAAAUUGUCGCAGCCUUGAAAAUAUUCUGCUUCGUUAUUUCGGGCACUCCACAGAUUCUGUUGCGAAGGCAGCCAUCUUUAGUUCGUCUUUCCUAGAGAGCGUUGAGAAGAUUCUGCUCCAUUUUUUCUGAUUAUGGAUUCUGUUCAGAAGGAAGCCGAAUUUUAAGUCAUCGUUCUAGGAUAGAGUCUCCCUGUGUCUCCCAGGCUGGAGUGCCGUGGUGUGAUCUUGGCUCACUGCAGCCACCACCUCUGGAGUUCAAGCGAUUCCUGCCUCAGCCUCCUGAGUAGCUGGGAUUAGAGGCGUGUACCACCAUACCCGGCUAAUUGUUUUUGUAUUUUUAGUAGAGAUGGGAUUUCGCCUUGUUGGCCAGGCUGGUUUCAAACUGCUGAACUCAAGUGAUCCACCUGCCUCAGCCUUCCAAAGUGCUGGGAUUAGAGAGGCAUGAGCCACCGCGCCCGGCCAGGUUCCCACAAAAUUGCCCUGUAACACUAGCAAGGGACUAAAGAUUUGCAUGUUCUAAACAUUCUUUCAUGCAUAUUUCUACUGUUGAUGUUAGCAACAAUAAUAAAAUCCCACAAAUUUGUAGACAGAAUCUAGUAUUAUGAAAGAUUACAGCCAAUAAUUAUAGUUCACCUGUUCCUAAAAGCUUAACUCCUGCGGUCCUCUCUUGGAAAUGUGUAUUCGAUGAAACUUCAGUAACAAGACCAUGAAUUAAAUUUGGAAGAGAAACUAUAUCUUUAAGAAGGUGUUGCUUUUCUGAAGUCAAUAAUGGCAGCUAAAUUAGACUAGAACCCUGGUGCCUUGAACACAAAUCCAGACUUAUUCCCAAUGUACCUCAUGCACAAAAUUCAAGCCUUCAAUUUGACAUUUAUUUUCUAUUGUGGAUAUUGAUUUCCUGAGGGGAAAAAUGAAAUGUGGUGUUGUGGUCCAGUGUGCUUUAUUG